UUUAACUGAGCGUUCAGUUACUUGACGUAGACCCGAAACCGGGCGACCUACCCAUGAGCAGGAUGAAGCGAAAGUAAAAUUUCGUGGAGGUCCGAACCCACGAGCGUUGAAAAGCUCGGGGAUGACUUGUGGGUAGCGGUGAAAUUCCAAUCGAGCCCGGAGAUAGCUGGUUCUCCCCGAAAUAGCUUUAGGGCUAGCCUCAAGGUGAGAGAUACGGAGGUAGAGCACUGAAUGUCCUAGGGGGUAUUGCACCUACCGAAGACUAUCAAACUCCGAAUGCCGUCAUCUUAUACUUGGGAGUCAGACUGUGGGUGAUAAGAUUCAUAGUCGAAAGGGCAACAGCCCAGAUCGUCAGCUAAGGUCCCUAAAUGUAAGUUAAGUGGUAAAGGAUGUGGGAUUGCACAGACAACCAGGAUGUUGGCUUAGAAGCAGCCACUCAUUCAAAGAGUGCGUAAUAGCUCACUGGUCGAGUGAUCCUGCGCCGAAGAUUUCCGGGGCUAAAACUUACUACCGAAGCUACGGCAUCAGUAAUGAUGGGUA
rnacentral:rRNA from 1 species